rnacentral:rRNA from 1 species
GAUGAACGCUGGCGGCGUGCCUAAUACAUGCAAGUCGAGCGAACAGACGAGGAGCUUGCUCCUCUGACGUUAGCGUCGGACGGGUGAGUAACACGUGGAUAACCUACCUAUAAGACUGGGAUAACUUCGGGAAACCGGAGCUAAUACCGGAUAAUAUAUUGAACCGCAUGGUUCAAUAGUGAAAGACGGUUUUGCUGUCACUUAUAGAUGGAUCCGCGCCGCAUUAGCUAGUUGGUAAGGUAACGGCUUACCAAGGCAACGAUGCGUAGCCGACCUGAGAGGGUGAUCGGCCACACUGGAACUGAGACACGGUCCAGACUCCUACGGGAGGCAGCAGUAGGGAAUAUUCCGCAAUGGGCGAAAGCUUGACGGAGCAACGCCGCGUGAGUGAUGAAGGUCUUCGGAUCGUAAAACUCUGUUAUUAGGGAAGAACAAAUGUGUAAGUAACUAUGCACGUCUUGACGGUACCUAAUCAGAAAGCCACGGCUAACUACGUG